rnacentral:rRNA from 1 species
AGAGUUUGAUCCUGGCUCAGGAUGAACGCUAGCGGCAGGCUUAAUACAUGCAAGUCGAACGGCAAGGACCUUCGGGUCCCUAGAGUGGCGCACGGGUGAGUAACACGUACACAACAUGCCCUGUAUUGGGGGAUAGCAUCGGGAAACUGGUGGUAAUACCCCAUAGGAUGGUUUAGAGGCAUCUUUAAACCAUUAAAGAUAUAUUGAUACAGGAUUGGUGUGCGUCCCAUUAGCUAGUUGGUAGGGUAACGGCCUACCAAGGCGACGAUGGGUAGCUGGCGUGAGAGCGCGACCAGCCACACUGGAACUGAGACACGGUCCAGACUCCUACGGGAGGCAGCAGUAGGGAAUAUUGGACAAUGGGCGGAAGCCUGAUCCAGCCAUGCCGCGUGGAGGAAGACUGCCCUCUGGGUUGUAAACUCCUUUUGUACAGGAAGAAACCUCCUCAUUUAUGAGUGAGCUGACGGUACUGUAAGAAUAAGCACCGGCUAACUCCGUGCCAGCAGCCGCGGUAAUACGGAGGGUGCAAGCGUUAUCCGGAUUCACUGGGUUUAAAGGGUGCGUAGGCGGUUUUAUAAGUCAGUGGUGAAAUCAACGGGCUCAACCUGUUAACUGCCAUUGAUACUGUAGGACUUGAAUAUGAGAGAGGUAGGCGGAAUGUUGCAUGUAGCGGUGAAAUGCUUAGAUAUGCUACGGAACACCGAUUGCGAAGGCAGCUUACUAUCUCGUGAUUGACGCUGAGGCACGAAAGCGUGGGUAGCGAACAGGAUUAGAUACCCUGGUAGUCCACGCCCUAAACGAUGAUUACUCGACAUUGGCGAUAUUACAGUUCAGUGUCUGAGCGAAAGCGUUAAGUAAUCCACCUGGGGAGUACGCCCGCAAGGGUGAAACUCAAAGGAAUGACGG